rnacentral:rRNA from 1 species
UACGAAGGGGGCUAGCGUUGCUCGGAAUUACUGGGCGUAAAGCGCGUGUAGGCGGGUCUUUAAGUCCGGGGGGAAAUGCCAAGGCUCAACCUUGGAACUGCCUUUGAUACUGGAGACCUUGAGUCCGGGAGAGGUGAGUGGAAUUGCGAGUGUAGAGGUGAAAUUCGUAGAUAUUCGCAAGAACACCAGUGGCGAAGGCGGCUCACUGGCCCGGAACUGACGCUGAGACGCGAAAGCGUGGGGAGCAAACAGG